rnacentral:pre_miRNA from 1 species
AUCAAAAGCUUGAUUCCGCCAGAAGAUCGUCAUUAGUUAGGGUAAGGUGCAUUCCAACUGCAACAAUUGUCUUACCUCUGAAAUGGGGUAAUUCAAACUUGCCAAACGGCCAGGACUCAAGCAUUUCGCUCGGCAUUCAUGUUUUUCCUUUGAAAAGAUUAAAUUCUUGUUAGGCUGGUUUAGAUGAAGGUAUUAAGUGUCAAGGAAUGAACCUCAUUUCGUUGGCACUUGAAUACCAUCAUCUAAAGCACACCUAACAAAAAUUUAUUCUUUUCAAAGGAAAACAUGAAUGCCGGGUGAAAUGCUUGAGUCAGGUUGUUUGGCAAGUUUGAAUUUACCCCAUUCAAAGGUAAGACAAUUGUUGUAGUUGGAAUGCACAUUCCAACUGCAACAAUUAUCUUACUCUGGAUGGGGCAAUUCAAACUUGUUAA